rnacentral:tRNA from 1 species
CCCGUGGUAGCCCAACUGGCAGAGGCGUCCGGCUCAGAACCGGAAGGUUGAGGGUUCGAAUCCCUCCUGCGGGACCA